CGUGUGGCUUUGGUUCGUGGCUUUUUUCGCACGACUGACCGUGGCGGGUGGUGACAAGUAGCUUGAAUUCUCUGCUUUCUUGUACUAACCUAUCACUUAUGACUGAUUUUGGAAAGAGAAGACUACAAUGAUGACCAAAUGAGAGUAUUUUGGUAUUUUUUUGAGUCAGAGGAUCGUGAAAGAUGGAUUUAUUGAACGAAGAAGGCGCGAUUCAGUAGCUGGUUCUAAAAAUGCGACAUGGCUACCAAGCGUGGCUGUAGCAGGGUCAGCCCUCCUCAAACAGAGAAAUACACAAACUGCCACCACCCUUGGCAUUAUGCUCAAGACCGGAUCUAUAGAGGCCAAUUUGAUUCGAUUUUCAAAGAUGAAGAUUGCAACUUCAAAUCAAGGUACAUUAGAUAGAAUGAAUACAUUGGGUGAAGAACACGAUAUUGAACUGAAACAGGCACAAAAUAGAAUUGUGAAGGAAAGUUGUGAAGUCCAAGACUUGAAAAGGAAUGUUGUGACCUGUGACCCAAGUGACAAUGGCCAGUCAAAAGAGAACUUACCAAAGACAAGAUAUCACUGUAUAAAGAAAAAUGUCAUUCAGGAUACUCUAUUGUUUUUGAUAACAUUGACCUUGAAAUGAAGAGGAAAGACAUGACAAUGGCCAAGCAAAAUAAAGAUAUACAUUGGAUUAACCACAAGAUUGUAAUCAACCGAGUAUCUGGAAACCAAUUUGAGUGGGAACCCGGCCCAAAACAAGAAAUUUUGGAUGUCUCAAACAUCAAGUUCCUGCCUUCUGCACAUGAUUAUAAACUACAAAGGCAUAACUACGUUGUUGUUGUGUCAAGAAUCCUGGUGAGCUACUUUAAUUGCUUCAAAGCAUUGUAAGAGGCCUGCAUUCAACACAUACAGCAUAAGCAUAUGAAAGAAAUGGCUGAAAAGUCU